rnacentral:lncRNA from 10 species
ACCCUCCCGGCCGUCCGGUGGGGAAACCCGGGAGCCACCCCGCGGCGCGGCUGCGGCUUUGCCUCGGCGCGACAGGGAAAAUAAAAGAAGCAAAAACAGGCCCUGCUGUGAGGGACCACGAGGCAGUGCCAGGAUGAAAGAGUUGGAGUAACCUAGGUGAUUCUGAGUGAAUCAGUCAGGAGGCCUUCCUGGAGGGGACCAUUGCAGGUACUGUGCCUUCUGCCUGAAAUGUGCUCACCUCGCCUCGCUGACUCCUACUCGCCAGUUAGUGUUCGGCCCAUUUCUGCCCCCGUGAGAUUUCUUCACAGAUGUUGCCCUCCCCCAUUUGCUGAGUUUCCUGCAUGCCGGCUCCUUCAGCACUCAAGGGUACCU